ACGCUGCUGAGGAGUCCCACAAUAGGACGAAAAGGCCUUCCAGUGC
rfam:Schistosoma haematobium scaffold204_23, whole genome shotgun sequence.